rnacentral:lncRNA from 1 species
AAAAAUUUUAAGUUCAUUAGAACACAUUCAUUCUGUGUCAGAAACCUAUGCUGUGUCAACUAUUUAAUCACAAUCCAAAUUUAGAGCUGAAUCUAGCUUGAAUGUUGUGUCCAUACUUGCCCCAACCGUUCAGAGUUCAACCUCUGCGGUCGUAUAAAGCUACGCCCUGCGGAGCAUCUGGUUUACACUGUGAGUAUGACAAAAUUUUUACUCUGGUCAUUUAAUCCAGUAAUUGUGACCUUUUACUGGACCAAAUCAUUUAAUACUGGAAAUUUGCCACAUGUGUGAGUGACCUUUGGAAUGACUAUGUGUGUCAGGGAAACAUACAAGUGCAAUAUAUUGUGUAAAUUAAUAUACAGUUGUGUAUAUAUAUAGAUGUCUCACUGUAACUUUU